rnacentral:rRNA from 1 species
CAGUAGCCACGGGAAUACGGAGGGUGCAAGCGUUAAUUGGAAUUACUGGGCGUAAAGCGCACGCAGGCGGUCUGUCAAGUCAGAUGUGAAAUCCCCGGGCUUAACCUGGGAACUGCAUUUGAAACUGGCAGGCUAGAGUCUUGUAGAGGGGGGUAGAAUUCCAGGUGUAGCGGUGAAAUGCGUAGAGAUCUGGAGGAAUACCGGUGGCGAAGGCGGCCCCCUGGACAAAGACUGACGCUCAGGUGCGAAAGCGUGGGGAGCAAACAGGAUUAGAUACCCCUGUAGUCCCUGUCUCUUAUAA